GGUUAAGCGACUAAGCGUACACGGUGGAUGCCCUGGCAGUCAGAGGCGAUGAAGGACGUGCUAAUCUGCGAUAAGCGUCGGUGAGGUGAUAUGAACCGUUAUAACCGGCGAUUUCCGAAUGGGGAAACCCAGUGUGUUUCGACACACUAUCAUUAACUGAAUCCAUAGGUUAAUGAGGCGAACCGGGGGAACUGAAACAUCUAAGUACCCCGAGGAAAAGAAAUCAACCGAGAUUCCCCCAGUAGCGGCGAGCGAACGGGGAGGAGCCCAGAGCCUGAAUCAGUGUGUGUGUUAGUGGAAGCGUCUGGAAAGGCGCGCGAUACAGGGUGACAGCCCCGUACACAAAAAUGCACAUAUUGUGAGCUCGAUGAGUAGGGCGGGACACGUGGUAUCCUGUCUGAAUAUGGGGGGACCAUCCUCCAAGGCUAAAUACUCCUGACUGACCGAUAGUGAACCAGUACCGUGAGGGAAAGGCGAAAAGAACCCCGGCGAGGGGAGUGAAAAAGAACCUGAAACCGUGUACGUACAAGCAGUGGGAGCCUCUUAAUGGGGUGACUGCGUACCUUUUGUAUAAUGGGUCAGCGACUUAUAUUCUGUAGCAAGGUUAACCGAAUAGGGGAGCCGAAGGGAAACCGAGUCUUAACUGGGCGUUAAGUUGCAGGGUAUAGACCCGAAACCCGGUGAUCUAGCCAUGGGCAGGUUGAAGGUUGGGUAACACUAACUGGAGGACCGAACCGACUAAUGUUGAAAAAUUAGCGGAUGACUUGUGGCUGGGGGUGAAAGGCCAAUCAAACCGGGAGAUAGCUGGUUCUCCCCGAAAGCUAUUUAGGUAGCGCCUCGUGAAUUCAUCUCCGGGGGUAGAGCACUGUUUCGGCAAGGGGGUCAUCCCGACUUACCAACCCGAUGCAAACUGCGAAUACCGGAGAAUGUUAUCACGGGAGACACACGGCGGGUGCUAACGUCCGUCGUGAAGAGGGAAACAACCCAGACCGCCAGCUAAGGUCCCAAAGUCAUGGUUAAGUGGGAAACGAUGUGGGAAGGCCCAGACAGCCAGGAUGUUGGCUUAGAAGCAGCCAUCAUUUAAAGAAAGCGUAAUAGCUCACUGGUCGAGUCGGCCUGCGCGGAAGAUGUAACGGGGCUAAACCAUGCACCGAAGCUGCGGCAGCGACACUAUGUGUUGUUGGGUAGGGGAGCGUUCUGUAAGCCUGUGAAGGUGGCCUGUGAGGGUUGCUGGAGGUAUCAGAAGUGCGAAUGCUGACAUAAGUAACGAUAAAGCGGGUGAAAAGCCCGCUCGCCGGAAGACCAAGGGUUCCUGUCCAACGUUAAUCGGGGCAGGGUGAGUCG
rnacentral:rRNA from 1 species